GCCACAACAUUUUGAAAUACCUGAUCCCGAACGGUCAUCGAAGUUAAGCAUUGUUGGGCUUGGUUGCUAACUAGAUGGGUGACCGCCUGAAAAUACCAGAUGCUGUA